rnacentral:rRNA from 1 species
CCUACGGGGAGCAGCAGUGAGGAAUAUUGGUCAAUGGACGCAAGUCUGAACCAGCCAUGCCGCGUGCAGGAAGACGGCUCUAUGAGUUGUAAACUGCUUUUGUACGAGGGUAAACGCAGAUACGCGUAUCUGUCUGAAAUUACCGUACGAAUAAGGAUCGGCUAACUCCGUGCCAGCAGCCGCGGUAAUACGGAGGAUUCAAGCGUUAUCCGGAUUUAUUGGGUUUAAAGGGUGCGUAGGCGGGCGGAUAAGUUAGAGGUGAAAUCCCGCGGCUCAACUUCGGAAUUGCAUCUGAUACUGUUCGGCUAGAGAGUAGUUGCGGUAGGCGGAAUGUAUGGUGUAGCGGUGAAAUGCUUAGAGAUCAUACAGAACACCGAUUGCGAAGGCAGCAUACCGGCGCCCAACUGACGCUGAAGCACGAAAGCGUGGGUAUCGAACAGGAUUAGAUACCCGUGUAGUC